AUUGAACGCUGGCGGCAGGCUUAACACAUGCAAGUCGAGCGGGGGAAGGUAGCUUGCUACCGGACCUAGCGGCGGACGGGUGAGUAAUGCUUAGGAAUCUGCCUAUUAGUGGGGGACAACAUCUCGAAAGGGAUGCUAAUACCGCAUACGUCCUACGGGAGAAAGCAGGGGAUCUUCGGACCUUGCGCUAAUAGAUGAGCCUAAGUCGGAUUAGCUAGUUGGUGGGGUAAAGGCCUACCAAGGCGACGAUCUGUAGCGGGUCUGAGAGGAUGAUCCGCCACACUGGGACUGAGACACGGCCCCGACUCCAACGGGAGGCAGCAGUGGGGAAUAUUGGACAAUGGGGGGAACCCUGAUCCAGCCAUGCCGCGUGUGUGAAGAAGGCCUUAUGGUUGUAAAGCACUUUAAGCGAGGAGGAGGCUACUCUAGUUAAUACCUAGGGAUAGUGGACGUUACUCGCAGAAUAAGCACCGGCUAACUCUGUGCCAGCCGCCGCCGUAA
rnacentral:rRNA from 1 species